rnacentral:rRNA from 1 species
UACGAAGGGGGCGAGCGUUGUUCGGAUUUACUGGGUGUAAAGGGAGCGUAGACGGUGAUGUAAGUCAGGGGUGAAAUCCCGGGGCUCAACCCCGGAACUGCCUUUGAUACUGGGUGUCUCGAGUCCGGAAGAGGUGAGUGGAAUUCCGAGUGUAGAGGUGAAAUUCGUAGAUAUUGGGAAGAACACCGGUGGCGAAGGCGGCUCACUGGCUCAUUACUGACGCUCAGGCGCGAUAGCGUGGGGAUCAAACAGG